rnacentral:rRNA from 1 species
CCAAUAGCGUAUAUUAAAGUUGUUGCAGUUAAAAAGCUCGUAGUUGAGUUUCGGGAUCAAUAUGUUGGUCGUGCCUUGGUACGUACUAGUUUAUUGGUUUCUUCCUUCUGACGAACCAUGAUGUCAUUAAUUUGGUGUCAUGGGGAAUCAGGACUGUUACUUUGAAAAAAUUAGAGUGUUUAAAGCAGGCUCACGCUUGAAUACAUUAGCAUGGAAUAAUGAAAUAGGACGUUUGAUUCUAUUUUGUUGGUUUCUAGGAUCGACGUAAUGAUUAAUAGGGAUAGUUGGGGGCAUUAGUAUUCAAUUGUCAGAGGUGAAAUUCUUGGAUUUAUUGAAGACUAACUACUGCGAAAGCAUUUGCCAAGGAUGUUUUCAUUAAUCAAGAACGAAAGUUAGGGGAUCGAAGACGAUCAGAUACCGUCGUAGUCUUAACCAUAAACUAUGCCGACUAGGGAUCGGAUGAUGUUAAUUUUUUAAUGACUCAUUCGGCGCCUUACG